CACACACACAGACACACACAAACACACACACAGUGAGAGGCUGGAGCAGCUACACAAGGUAAAUUGAACACAAUAAACACGGCUACACACACAAUCCUAGCUGCAGCAGAUGUACAAUGUUAUACAGACACACACAGACACAGCUGUACAGUGACACAGAGACGCACACACAAUCACAGCUGCAGCAUACACACUCUGAAAUGCAGGUGUAGAGCAGCGUGUAGUUGUGACUCUGUGUCUCUCUCCUCCCCCUCUCCUCUCCUCUCCUUACUUUGUUUAAAAGAAUAGAAGCACACCCAGUGAGCAAGGCAUUGAGCAGCCCCACAUCCCGCUUCACAAUACCGCUACAUAUUGACUGACUGUUCGCAUUGUGUGUGUUUGGUAAGACAAACCACAUUUUCUACUUCUACUUUCUACGAUUGGGCAAGUCAGCGGUUGUUUGAUAACAGAACAUAAAACAUCACAGAGUGGGUUGAACUGCAUUGCUGGAAAUCAAGGCCCUUUCAAAUGUGUACCUUCCCAGCUCAGGUAUUGCUGAGGUAAAGAGACACUUCCUACAGGAGGACAGGACGUUGUCAAGGAGGGGAUGUCGUCACGUGUCCUGAGGGCUUUCUUAAAAACAUUGUUUUAUUAUUUCUAAGCGUACGUUGUUAUUGCCUUUUAGCUCUUGAGCAUAAUAAUCUCAAUCCCGUUUGAAAUGACACUAAGUGCAUUUGCAUGGUGGCAGAUGAGGGAUGUCGCUUCACUCGAGGCUUGCGUACUGAUGAAGAUGUAGUUUCAGUGUUUAAUGCUCAUCCCCUCACUGUGUGUCUGUGUGUUCUUGUCUCUUGACAGGUCUGUGAGGAUGAGAAGGUCUCCACAGUCUGGAGUCUGAUCUCUGACAGCCUCAACAUACCUGUCAAUCAACAGGGACUCCUCUACAAAGGCAAGGCGCUGGCAGGUAGGCUGAACAGCACAGCACAGCACAGCACAGCACAGCACAGCUCACCCCUCCUCUCACCCCUCGCCUCAUCCCUCCUCUCACUCCUCGCCUCACCCCGGGUCAGUGUGGCACAGCCUGCCUGCUCUUCUAAACAAACACUUCAGCCCUGCCGACGCAGUGAGAGUCUGGAGCAGCAACACGAGGUGAUGAAGUGACACUUUGAAUAUGGGGCCUGAUGAGAGAAGUAUCCUUUUCAUGUGGUUUUGGUUUUGCUGUUGUGAGCAGGUAUGGGAGACAGCACCGUGUCUGCAUGUGAAAUAACAAAGUCAUCGCAGUGGAGGGACUCUCUGAAGGCUGCUGUUUGUGGAUUUGUCUUGUAAUAUUCCUGGAGUGUGUGGCUGUGUGCCUGAGUGACAUCCAGAACUUAAGAGAAGUCGUUUCAAUUCUGGUUCUUUCUUGAGGAGAGGUGCCUUGUAGUGGUCAAAGAAGUCCCCUGGGUCGACAUUGUCUACCUUUUAGGAUUUUGAAUGUUUGAAUCAGAUCGCCCUGUAGUCGUCUUUGUUCAAGACUGAAUAGAUUCAAUUCUUUUAGCCUGUCUGCAUAUGACAUGCCUUUUAAACCCGGGAUAAUUCUGGUUGCUCUUCUUUGCACUCUUUCUAGAGCAGCAAUAUCCUUUUUGUAACAAGGUGACCAGAACUGAACACAAUAUUCUAGGUGAGGUCUUACUAAUUCAUUGUAAAAUUUUAACAUUACUUCCCUUGAUUUACAUUCAACACUCCUCACAAUAUAUCCAAGCAUCUUGUUGGCAUUUUUUUUAUAGCUUCCCCACAUUGUCUAGAGGAAGACAUUUCUGAGUCAACAUAAACUCCUAGGUCUUUUUCAUAGUUCCCUUCUUCAAUUUCAGUAUCUCCCAUAUGAUAUUUGUAAUGCACGUUUUUAUUGCCUGCAGGCAAUACUUUACACUUUUCUCUAUUAAAUUUCAUUUGUCAUGUGUCUGCCCAGGUCUGAAUGCUGUCUAGAUCAUUUUGAAUGACUUUUGCUGCUGCAACAGUGUUUGCCACUCCUAUUUUUGUGUCGUCUGCAGAUUUAACAAGUUUGCUUACUAUACCAGAAUCUAAAUAAUUAAUGUAGAUUAGGAAUAGCAGAGGACCCAAUACUGAUCCCUGUGGUACACCACUGGUUACCUUGCUCCAUUUUGAGGUUUCUCCUCUAAGCAGUACUUUCUGUUUUCUACAUGUUUACCACUCCCUAAUCCAUGUGCAUGCAUUUGCAUCCAUGUGCAUCCCCUGGUCAGCUGUCCAGCUCACUGCUGCAGAAGUUUGUUUGGGGCUGGGACAAUGGACUUGUGUGUUUUAGCCAUUUGUUAAUCUUUGAAGAGGACCUGCAAGUUUGUCUUGCAGUCUUCCCUGCAAUAAUGAUGGACUUUAUUUAUUUGAGAAUCUGUGUUGGAAAAUGUACUUUUUGACGGUGAAGUUGUGUUUAAAAAAACAAGUAAAGGAAAUGUACAUGAUCUCUAACUCGCUAUUUGACAAAUAACAAUUUAAAAAAUGAAAGCAUGUGUGAUGCCUAUUUCCCUGCAAGCCCUUUUCUUUGCCCACUGGAGCACACAGCCUCUUAUGGGGGUUUGGAACCGCAAAUCACUGCAUCUUAAACACACAGCUCUAGAGUCCGUAACUACAGCAUGUACUGUACCGUUUAUUGUGUGUGUUUUAAUGAAGUCUGCUGCUGUACUUGUCUGGCUGUGAGCUUUUGCGUUACCAACAAACAAGGAAUUAAACAAAACAAAAGCAGCUCCGUUCUCAGCCUGGCGUGAGAUUGAUUUUUUUUUUUUUUUUUUUAUCUACAAUGGGAAGUGCUUUAGACUGAACAACCUCAAGCUCCCUUCAUCUUGUCACAGCUCUGCACUGUGAUAUAAAGUCUAUUUCCUGUACAUUGUCAUUAUUUUUUGUGUUUUAUUUAUUGUGAUUAUUAUUAUGAUUUUAAGAAUGUAUCGGAAAUGUCUUUGUUUUUGCACAGUGGUAAGGUUAGUCCGAGUCAUUACAAUGGGCAACUGAGCUGUGUUAAGAUAAAACUUUUUUUUUUUAAAUUAAAGAAAAUUAUCUUUAUUAAAAUCAACAGUUCUACUAAAUGGCCACACGAUGGCAGCAUUGAAUAAGGAAUAGCAAGAGCUUCGUUCUGCCUGUCUUCAUAAAGUGCACUGCCUGCUUUGCCCAUUGUUGUAACCUGCUUGACAAAGCCACGCUGAAUUAAUCAGCUCACUGGGGGUGGGGGUGUGUCUAUUUAUUAUUAUUUUCUUAGCAUGUGCCCUUAUCCAGCGCGACUUACAAUUGUUAUAAGAUAUCACAUUAUUUUUUACAUACAAUUCCCCAUUUAUAUAGUUGAGUUUUUUCUGGAGCAAUCUAGGUAAAGUACCUUGCUCAAGGGUACAGCAGCAGUGUCCCCCCCACCUAGGAUUGAACCCACAACCUUCCGGUCAAGAGUCCAGAGCCCUAACCACUACUCCACACUACUGCCCGUAUUUGUUUGACUCUGUCAAAGAUACAAUAGAAGUGACUCUUUUAUUUUAGCUAUUUUCAAGGCAGUAAUCGCCUCCAUGUUGUACAAAUCAUUAGUCCAGUUCAAGUCACAAAUGAGUGUAGUGGUACAGCUGGUAGGAUGGCUCAGUUGGUAGAGCACAGGGCCCUGAUUCCCAGGGUUGGUGGUCCAAACCCCAUUCACAAUGCCUGUU